GAGGUAUCUGGGGUUUUCCUCCAUUGCCUGCCUGGCAGCCACGGUCGGGGUGUGGAGGCGGCUCUCAGUGCUGCAGGGCAAGAUGGAUCUUUUCGGGAAAGCAAGCCCACCGCCGGACGGCUUGCCCUCCGCAUCCUUCCAGCUAUUAGUUUAUGGUUAAUCGCUUCUUAAAGAGGCAGAGAAGACAAGAAGUUUCCACGAUAUUCUGCCUCAGCUAUUUUUGGAACACUAUGCAGGCAUAGAAACCCCCUUUGGCACGUGGCUCUUCACAAUCUCCUCACCAGAAGCUGGGACCACACGGCCUCAAGACUUAAUUCAGAUAAAGAUGCUGCUGCCUUGAAUCUUUGUUGAAGGAAAAUGUUCCUUCCAUGCUUUGCACCACCUUAAUUCAGUGUAGCACUUGAAUAAAUAUCUCACUCCACUGGAGUGGAUUAGUUUUCCUUCAUGCAAGAAUACACAUAUGCAAUUCUAAUAGAGGAAGACCUACCAGCAUGUAAAUCUUAAAAUAAUUAACAAUCUGAAAUUUUAAAACAGCCAGGAUGUACCUCUGCUUAACAAAUCUAGCAACAGCGAUAGAUUCAUCCGAUAGAUUCAGUCUUCUGGGUGACACACACCCCCCGAAAAUGUUAAUCUGAGCUAAUAAAAGGACUCUGCAAUUUC